ensembl:scaRNA
ACAGUCUGACACUGACCUAAAAUAAAUUCCCAGGAGAAGUCUUUCUUGGGUUUUGAAUUUGUAGAACAGGUGUAAGUAUUCUAGCAGCAGUUUGAUGAUCAUGUAUGAUACUGCAAACAGGA